GGUCCAAUCAAUUUGAUAUAUGAUUUAUUUGCGAUGAAAAAUGUGGAUUACAAGAAGAAUUGCUGAAAAAAGAAAAUUCGUGAUGACCUAUGGAAUAUUCAGCGAAAUAAGAAGGAUACGUUAUAUGGAAAAUACCAAUCGAUUUGAUCAAAUGAAGAGGAAAGAAACGAAUCUGUCGGAAACAAUUAAUGAAUUUUUAUGUAUCGAUGACAGUGCAAAGAAAUGGCUACCAGCGAGAAUAGAUACGAUCCUGUGGCGCGUGAUCGGAACGAGUCUUCAAUCGCUCUUCGGAUGACCUCUUUGAAUAGUUGUGCUAUAGGUUGAUAGCAUACAAUAUAUCAAUAAUCGAAGAAGCUUUAGAUCGGAGGACUUUAUUUGAUCGGAAUAACAAGAUUCGCAUAAAUUUGCUAUUCCUAUAACAGAUUCAAAACGUGAUACAGUAUCGAAGGAAAUAUCGAGUCCAAGAAGAUGGCGGAACAGGACGAAUCCAAGCAGACAAAAUUACAUUACUAUAAUUUAUCUAGAUACAGUAAAUAUAUCUAGAAUCUUAGAAUCUACAUCGCGAUUUAUUAUAUUUCGUU